ensembl:lincRNA
CUCUUUUUUAAUUUCCCAUAGUCCCCCAAAUCUGAUGUUUUGUAUAUUCAAUUAUUCUGAACAUAAAUCUUGUUUCAAUCAUCUCUCCAAGGGAAAUGUCCAAACAUCAUCACUGUUUUCAAAAGUUUUAACUUAUCAUCGUGACUGAAAAUAGAAGGCUUUAGUGUUACAAGGCUAAAGAAUUCAGAAAUAGAGCCGAAGUCUACUCACUGCAACUUUACACUUUGCAUGCAUAGGAGUACGUGUUCUAUAAUGCUUCUCAUUAGGCUACCUGCGGCGCAGUACUUACAGAAAGACUUGACAGAUCUAAAAUGUCACUACAAUCACUUUUACCAAGUGCUGCCAACCAGGCAGUGUUAUGCUCUACAAGUCUCCCUGUGCAAGAAAUGUUCCAGUGACAGAAGGCCCAGAAAAAAACAAAACAUGAGUGCAGACAGAAAGCUCACAGCGGAAGAGCAGAAACAAAGCCUACAGGAUACAUGGCUACUUUCCCCUUUGCAGUUGGCCAAGCAGAUGGACAUCCUGGAAAAAAGGCAGCCAGGGCUUAGCGAAAGGCAAGCAGUGUUACUGCCAGAUCUUCCCAGGAGAGAUAACCUACUAGUCAUGUUUGAGGUUUUGACUUUAUUCUACACCCAUCAGGAUGAAUGGAUUCAAGCACCAAAUUGUACAAGGGAUUAAGAGAUCCACUUUGCUGGGGCUUUUGACGUGUUUCAGUCAAGUAGAUGGAAAGCAGUUCAUAAGAGAGAACUCUCACCCACUGGGACAUACUGAAAAACCAGAGCACUGCGGAGCUGUUUAAAUUUUAUCUAUUUUUCUUUAUCCCACACUGUUUCCUAAAAAGAAAUCCCUGACUAUUCUGUGUCUGAUGGAAACCAGUGUGCUGGGUUGAAACUCCAUUUAAGGACUCUCAGAAGUGGUUUAUUUUUAUUGUUCAGUUCAAUGUGUGGGAAGAGUCAAAGUGUAAUAUUUGAAAUUUAAAGUGAGUUCUUUAAAAAAGGAGUUCUUUAGCAUUUCUGAGAACUCACACAUUUUCAGGCAUUUGUAACUGGAAAGGAUGAUCUUAGGAACUUAGAUCUUUAAAAUAGGUUUUCGUUUUUAAAUUUCAAUUUAAAACACAUUUUAACAAUAAAAAUAGAAUAACCCAUAGAAUAGAGCGUCAGCUAUACCGUAGUGCUCCACUUCACUUCAUUUCCUAUAGACAUUUUCUGCUCUGCAGUAUUGGUGCUUAAUUCUGUUCCCACCAUGAUCCCCUGUUUUCACAUUCCAGUGAUUUCUCCUUGGCAGUUGCUUAGAUGUGCUUCAGUAGCAUAAAGUGUCUCAGAGACUGAUAAUCUCUGCCUUCAUCUACCUAGAAAUGAAUGUAUUUUGCAAACUCUUCCAAAGACAUGGUCUUUUCUAUGCUGUUGUGUAACAAAACUUUAGAAAUAUUUUCCAUUUUAGUGUUUGAAUGGAUGACAUGUCGAUACCAUCACUAUUCAGUUCUUUUCAUCUUUGAGACAAAUGUAUUCCCUUAGUAUUUCUGAUAUAAGUUAACCAAAACAUAUAUUUAUUUAAAUAAUAUUAGCAAUUAAUAUUCUAAAUUGAUUUACAAUUAAACACACCUUAUGAUUAGUUGUCAUGAAUACUUUAAUAAAAAUAAUAAUUCCUUUGGAGUCAGACAUAGUCAUACAUUGUUUUCAUCUAGGAAAAGCAGGACAGGCUGUAGUUGUUGGACUCUCUGACAGCUACAGUCCUAGAAUCAAAUCCCAAGUGCAUCACCAACUGCCUUACUUGAGGUGAAAAUGUAACACCAAUUCUUUUAUGUGUUAAAUGGGGAUAAAUAGUACAUAACUUUUAAAGCAAUAAUUAAAUAUAACACUUAUCCUUUUUUUUAAAUCAAUUAAAGUUCAAUGCAGUCACACUCCCAUGAGUGCACAAAAGGUCAAAGAAACAGAUUUCUACUUAGAUUUAUGCAAAUAUUUAAUAACAGA